UACUGUCGAACCUAAGAUGGUUCUUCAGGCUUCGAAGUAUUCUCCAAGGUGUUUCCUUGGGGUCCCAAUUUGGGGGACGGGUCUCAUUCUUAGGCUUCUGAGAGGCUCGUAAAAAGGAAUUCCGAGUAAGAUUAGUAUAGGGGGCUCGGGACCCGGAGCAGAAGCCGUCGCCAACGGUUACAACGCCUCGACCGACUUUACUUUGCCUUCGAGUUCUAGAGGUUACUCCUCGAGCUGGUACAGUUGUUCGCUAAACUGUUUCGCGUUCAACAACGGCACCUCCAGCUCUUGGAAUUCCGGUUUGACUUCUUCAGGUUCGUCCUCCGACGGCUUGUCUUCACCGCCGACUAGCUCGCCAGCAGCUCGACAGCUGCCACCAAAACGGGGUAGUCGAGCACCGCGGGCGUGGGUUAGUGGGCGCAGAGCGGGGUGAGGGUGGGGUCGGCGGUUUGCUUGGGAUCGGGCGAAAGAGGGAAGGGAGCUAGGGGUGCUCGGCGGCGUGGGGAGGGAGGGGUUAGAGGUGUCGGCGGCGUGGAGAGGGAGCUAGGGGUGCUAGGAGAGGAGCGGGCGUCGGCGGCCGGAGCAGAGAGGUGAGCGGAUGAGGAGAGGAGAUGGUACAGCAGCAGCUAGGGUGGCGGCCGGAAGAGGUGACGAACGGAGAAGGACAGGCGAAGGUACAGUGGCAGCUAGGUCUAGCCUACACUUCCUCCUCCGGCCGCUCCUUCCGUUCGUUGUCGCCCCUUCCUCGUCCACUCGUUAGGAUCGCGCCCCUUGUAGGCACCCCUGCCGCGGCAGCCGGUCCCCGGUAAGCGGCAGCAGCCGGAGUGAGCGGAGCAGACGAGAGAGAAGUGGUCGGGCUGGUAUCUCCUACCCUACUCUUUCAGACACCGGUCGCUUACCUCGGGGUGGAAACGCAAAGACAGCGGCGGCUCCUUGCAGCGUCGGUGAGCGGGUGUGGUCGGUUUUUCUAAACCCUGAAGUGUUAGACUACGACUCGUUCACCUGUAGGUACAGGGUUUACUCUUCCGACCCAACGAGUAACCCCUCCCUCCACUCUGGUAACUCGAAAAUCUUUGAUUCAGACCCCGACCGUAAGUCCUAUCACGAUACUGAUAUACGUACCUACAGAAAUAGGUAGGGGUUUACUCUUCCGAGCCUACGAGUAACCCCUCCCUCAAUUAGGGCGUAGUAGAGGGGCUUCCACUAGAAAGGUGUCUUUCUUUUUAUGUUGAAUCACCCUUAACCUUAGUUUAUCUCUAACGUUCUUGUUACCAGCACCUUGAGUAAUCAGUCCGGAGAAAGAAACAAUGAAGACUUUGAGUUGUAUACCCCUAAAACUCUCCUAAAAGUACAGACUGGUCCCGAUUUGACUCUUUUAUAACGUUCUCGAGUAGGUACAUGAACGAACUAAUGUGGUUGAACCCUCGUGAUAGUUCUUCGAAUACAUCAAACAGUAACUAAUAACUACAGUAUUGUUCCUAUACGGUAUGUGUGCUUCUAUGAGGAUAAUUGUGCUCACGGUAGUCAUAUCACUGGAACACGUAGUCGUACUUCCCCUCGGAACCGCGUCACCAUUUCGACGACGGAACACUGGUACUCCAGUGCCCAAGUUCAGGACCUUUGUCGGAGAACGUCUUUACAUCCCUUGCCGACGCAUGUUAUCUGGGUUUCACCAGCCUGGGAAGGGGUCUGGGACGCGUUCGCCCUCGAUGUACGUGACCCCGACGGGAAAAAUAAAGUGCACGGAUAAACAUACUCUCUAAACAAUAACUGGAUUCCGGUUCACAUAGUGAUAGAUAAAUAGUAGGAACCACAACCCUAGUUCUGCUACUCAUACUACUACGGUAACUAAGUGUACUACUAGAACCACUACUCAUACUACUACGGUUAGUAUACAACCACACUCCUUUGAACCACUACCAUAACCACUCUCGCAUCUCUUCCUUCACUUCCAAGGGCAACUCUCUUUCUACUUUCUAAUCACCAAGGUAAGUUAAGGUC
rnacentral:rRNA from 1 species